ACAGAGAAAGGCAAGAAAAAUUGUAAAUGUUUACUCCGAGCUGGAACACAAACCAGGAGAGGGUCCAGGGCUUUGGCUACUUUCCCUCUGUCCCGCUGGAGAAGGAGGUAUCCAGAUUGUGGCCACAAGCUAAAGCAAUUCAACCUCAGUUCCUUCUUACAGGGUAUCCCUGGCAACGAUGGCGUACCAGGGAAACCGGGUCCACCCGGCCAAGCACCUCCUGUUUUGCUGCCUCAGGAUUCAGCUUCCACGGGCAAGGAGGGCUGUGGCGAAUGCUCCAAGGGCCUACCAGGUGUGCCCGGCGUGGUUGGUGCUAAGGGCGAGAAGGGAGAUCAGGGCAAGCCUGGCGUUGAACACUUAGAUAGAUGCGAACGGUGUUUAGAGAAGCUGCAGAGAGAAGAAACACCAAGUAGGCCUACGAGUAACAGUGGUCAGUGUGUUGGUGCACCAGGGAUGCCCGGAUUCCCAGGGACCGCAGGGGUCAAAGGAGAGCCGGGUCCUAGAGGUGAGCGAGGACCUCCUGGUCUUCCUGGAACCCCAGGCAAUAUUGGUUUCCCUGGUCCUCAAGGGCCUCCUGGACUGCCUGUAAGUCAAUGCAUGCAAACUUAUGAUCAGCUCAGACGAACACAGAAGAUGUUUAAUUACCUCAGAAAACCAGCCCAUCUUCUCUGAAUGCCAUGACAGAGAAAUAAAACU
rnacentral:lncRNA from 1 species